rnacentral:sRNA from 3 species
CACACGUGAGGCAUGGGAUUGUCCGGGAGAAAUCCGGGCGGUUCCGCCGGUGGCGUUUCCGAAGGAAGCGCUGAUCGCCUUGCGGAGGUUCAACCGGAAAAGGAUGACAAGG